rfam:Erinaceus europaeus unplaced genomic scaffold scaffold00785, whole genome shotgun sequence
GAAUGUGAGGGCGAUCUGUCUGCAACUUCUGUCACCCCAUUGAUUGCAGGGUUGAUUGGCUGGCUAGGUGGGUGUCCCCUUCCUCCCUCAUCAUUCCAUGUGCGUCCCUCCCGAAGUUGUGCGCUUGGUCAAAGAGGACGGCUUCCCCCGAAUAGAGACUGACUGUUCUUCGGUCAAGGGUAUACGAGUAGCUGUACUCCCCUGCUAGAACCUCCAAACAAGCUCUCAAGAACUUAGCUAGUUCACAUAUCUCGGAAUGAUUACCACCAAUUUUUCAAAGGUCUGAAUCAGAAUACAUUGGG